CACAAACCAUUCUGUGCUGCUACAGUACCGACAGGCCCCGCACAGAGCGCGCGCACACGCACUCACGCGAGGCGCGCGCCCACACAGCCGCACAUACACGGUCCUCGUUUCGCAAUCUGAAAACACAGGACCAACAAAAAUACAAUGAGUAAUAAGCGUCGAUAUGGCUACAGUUUGUACUUGUGAUGUCAAAAUGAUAUCGACAAAAAAAAAAAGAUUCAUGCUUGCUCAUAACAUUAGAAGCAAAAAAACAAAGACAGGAAUAAAAUGCCACGCUGCAACUAAACCUGAGACUUCAUCAGGCUUUGUGGGCUGUUAUUUCUCACAUUUGGUUUUGCAAUGCACGUGCAGCAGGACAUCAUUAAGAUAAUCAUGUAUGGAAAAAGUGUGCAAGUGCAAUCUAUUUUAAAACGUUUUAGGGGUCAAGUGGAGAUAUUUCUUUUGUUUUUGUUUUAAAUGGGAAUCUUAAAAAAAUGCAGCUGCCAAUGUCUAAGUUCAAGGUCAAAUGCAUUGUUUUCCACGUCUAAAAGUGUUAGAUCAUGAAAAGCUGGGUUUGACAAAUGCAUAAAUUAAAUGAGCAUCUGUUUUUAAAGAUAUCAAACUUUUAUUUUCAGAAAUGUUAAAUAAAUGUAACAUUCCUGCUUCUUACACUCAGUAUUGUUUUAAACUUUCUUCUAUUUUUAACAGCACAUUUCUAUUCUACAGUGAUGAGUGGAUUUUUCUGGAGAAGAACCCUGCACAAAAUCUAUUAGCAUACUCUUUACUCUCUGGUCAGUUGUGGUAAUACGGUGCCUGUUCUGAGAAAAACAUGAUAUUCACAGAGUUCUUACAAAACUUGCCUGCUUCUCACUGAUGAAAUCACCAUUACCAGGUUUCUGUUCCAUUCAGUAUACACUCAUGUGGUUUUGUACCAGGUGAGCCAACGAUGACAAAAAAAAAAAACUUUUGGUGUAACAAGCAAGAGGACAAUGAAGCAUCUGCUGUCUAUAAGGCUAAAAUUACAGGUUAUGAAAAGCGCCCCAUGGACUUUUGGGGGAAAAAAAUAAAAGUGUUCUCUGACAAAAGCUUGUAACCUCCCACAUUAUAAUAUUUACUUGUGUUGUUUGUUCUGUCUGUAUGCCUUUCACUUUAUUGUUGUUUUUCCCUUGCUAGGCACUCCAUGAGGAUAUAAACAAUUGAGUUUUUCUAUAUAUUUUCUUUUAUAAUUAUCAGAUAUAAUAAUCAGCAUGUUUCUUACACUGGGUUUUUUACAACCAAUAAUAUAGAUAAAAGUUCAGUCGGUGGUGUACUUACAGUUACUCGACUUUGUCACAGCUCAGUGUCAUGCCGUGUGCUCUACAUUCCUUUCCUGGAGAAAACAAAAAUAAAGGGAUAAUUAUGAAGCACAAA